UGAGGAAUAUUGGUCAAUGGGCGGGAGCCUGAACCAGCCAAGCCGCGUGAGGGAGGAAGGCCCUAUGGGUCGUAAACCUCUUUUGCCAGGGAACAAAAGCGAGUAUGUAUACUAGUCUGAGUGUACCUGAAGAAAAAGCAUCGGCUAACUCCGUGCCAGCAGCCGCGGUAAUACGGAGGAUGCGAGCGUUAUCCGGAUUUAUUGGGUUUAAAGGGUGCGUAGGCGGCGGUGCAAGUCAGCGGUAAAAGCCCGGGGCUCAACCCCGGCGAGCCGUUGAAACUGCAGUGCUAGAGAAGGCGAGAGGUACGCGGAAUGCGCAGUGUAGCGGUGAAAUGCUUAGAUAUUGCGCAGAACUCCGAUUGCGAAGGCAGCGUACUGGCGCCUGACUGACGCUGAGGCACGAAAGCGUGGGGAUCGAACAGGAUUAGAUACCC
rnacentral:rRNA from 1 species